rnacentral:rRNA from 1 species
AAGCGUUGUUCGGAUUCAUUGGGCGUAAAGGGUGCGUAGGCGGCGCGGUAAGUCGGGUGUGAAAUCUCGGGGCUUAACUCCGAAACUGCAUUCGAUACUGCCGUGCUUGAGGACUGGAGAGGAGACUGGAAUUUACGGUGUAGCGGUGAAAUGCGUAGAUAUCGUAAGGAAGACCAGUGGCGAAGGCGGGUCUCUGGACAGUUCCUGACGCUGAGGCACGAAGGCCAGGGGAGCAAACGGG